UAUAUCUUGGGAAAUAAAGUCCAAAGACUAGAGGCUCUUAGGCAGUAGGAGAAAGUCUUCCCUAGAAAAGACAGUCCGAGGUGCCCACAGUAAUUUGCUAUCCCCUGCCCAUAUCAGUUGUGUGACUCCUGCAGUGUAACAGGAUAGUGUAGUCCUCACUCAAUGGGCAAAUGUCUAGUGAAAUGGAAGCUAUUUUAGCCUCCCACUUAUCAGGGAUUCUUUUGGGCCUGAGCCAUCGUCUGAAAAGCAGCCCCAUAAGGUAUCUGGAUCAAAGAUGCAGCAGUCACUGAGUCACUAGCUGGUUCUUUUUCCGUGCCCCAAGGAAGACAUCCAGACAGAAAACACCAUUUGGGGAACAGAGACCACGUGAGGGAAGAAAGACUCCUUAUUAAGCCUCCACUACUUCCACAAGGGUACUGAGUGUGAAAAUCAGAAGAAGAGGUGAGUAGGGCCUGUGAACAGGUGGUCUAUGCACUCCAGCUUAUUUUGCACAAACUGCUGCUUUGGUCCUUUCACAUUUAAGGGGCAAAGUGAUACCACCAGUUUGUGAGAAGUAACAUGACUUUAUUCCCCUCCAAUAAAUGGAAUGAUCUUUUCUAAUCAAAAAUCUGUUUGUCUUGUCUUCAGAAAUGCUAGCUCUUCGGGGGAGCUAGAAAAAACAGUUUGACCAAGUUGUGCUGAGGGUAGGAGGACAUCACGAGUAGUUCCCUAAUCCACUGUCAGUGAGUAUGGCAGCUUGUCUGGGCAGUAGGGAUGGCUGGGAAGUCUUGACAAGGUCCCCUGGAGUUCUGUUGGGGGUUGUCAUAGACAUGGGAUUUUUUUUGAGAUUGAAGCCUCCAGAAGCAGCCAAGAAGCAGCAGGCUGAAGCCGAAGAAUGGAAGCUGCUUGAAAAGAAGACUGGAACAUCCUGGAAAGCAGCUACCUGAAAAAGCAGCAGCAGCAGAAUUCCGAGGUUGGCUUGGCAACGAGCAGCUUGCCAGCAGCAACAGAAGAGCAGUAACCGCCACUGCAUCCACGGCAGAAGAGCAACAGUGCAGCUAUAAGCCACACUCUGGGGAUCAGACAGGACAGAAGGUGAACAGAUGAAUCGGAGGAAAAUUUAAAUAAGGAGUAGUUUUCAAACAAGCCGCCCAGCACCUGCUUGUGCAGGAGAACCAGAAAGGGAAACUGACUGGAGAAAAAGCGAAAGCAACUCCUCUACUUCUCUUGUUCAAGCAGCGUGAAAUACAGAGAACAAACAAGGAGUAUAAAUGAUGACAAGUAAACUAGGCUCUUCCUCUCCACUCCCACACUAACCAUAGGCCACAUCUUGGGGCUUGAAAAGGAUAUCCAUUAGUGGUCUUGUGAGACUGAACUGCACAUAUUGUUAUGUGAGUUGAGUAUCACAGCAGCAGGCAGGAGAAACAUGGAUCAGUGGACUACUGUCUGAACCUGUAACCCUGUACACAUCUGCUGCUCCCAGAACUGGUUGCCGUACGGGCCACUAUAGAAGAAAGAAGGAAAGCAGGUGGCCAACUGGGUGACACAAAGUGGGACGAAAAGAGUUUUUUGCCAUUAGAGAGCAUUGGAAAUCAAAGUUGUAAAGUUUUAAGAAACCUACAGUCUUUUCUGUAAGGGCCAAGGAAAUCUGAUCAAUUUUCUGUAAAAGCUCUUUUUCAAUCCGUUCAUGUUCCUGUUCCAACCAGCUGCGGGUAGACAAUAUCUGGCUGCUGAGUUCUUCUACUGCACCUUUUAAUCUAAGAGAAUAAAAUAAAUGAGCAUGUUUGCAAAUA